GCUUACCGCCAUACCACCUUAGGCACGCCCGAUCUCGUCUGAUCUUGGAAGCUAAGCAGGUUUGGGCCUGGUUAGUACUUGGAUGGGUGACCGCCUGGGAAUACCAGGUGCUGUAAGCA
rnacentral:rRNA from 1 species